rnacentral:rRNA from 1 species
AUUGAACGCUGGCGGCAUGCCUUACACAUGCAAGUCGAACGGUAACGCGGGGCAACCUGGCGACGAGUGGCGAACGGGUGAGUAAUGCAUCGGAACGUGCCUGGUAGUGGGGGAUAACUGCUCGAAAGAGCAGCUAAUACCGCAUACGACCGGAGGGUGAAAGGGGGGGAUCGCAAGACCUCUCGCUAUCAGAGCGGCCGAUGUCGGAUUAGCUAGUUGGUGGGGUAAAGGCCCACCAAGGCAACGAUCCGUAGCUGGUCUGAGAGGACGACCAGCCACACUGGGACUGAGACACGGCCCAGACUCCUACGGGAGGCAGCAGUGGGGAAUUUUGGACAAUGGACGCAAGUCUGAUCCAGCCAUGCCGCGUGCGGGAAGAAGGCCUUCGGGUUGUAAACCGCUUUUGUCAGGGAAGAAAUCUUCUGGGCUAAUACCCUGGGAGGAUGACGGUACCUGAAGAAUAAGCACCGGCUAACUACGUGCCAGCAGCCGCCGUAAGAC